GUGGGUGUAUUCAUGUGUAUCACUCAUCAUAUGAGUCUGUAUGUGUUGUGUGACAAGUGGAAAAUGGUUUUGUUUCGCUUAAAGGCUUAAAAGCUUGCUGCUUUGUGGGGACCACAACCAUGUGUGAAUACCUUGGAAUUGCAUGGCAAAUUGUUCUAGUCUAAAACACAAUAUUUCUGAAAUUGUAAGUACAGAAUAAUCAAAAAGAUAACACCGAAUGCGAACGACAUGUAAACCCGAAGGACAUAGAUGACAUAGAAAAUAUGUUCUUGAAAGUAAUAUAAAGUCUAAAAAUGUUUGAAUGUUUUCAUUUGCACAAUCGAAAGCGUAAUUUAAAUUUGUUUGGCAAACUCAUUGAUUUUCAAACAAACUGUCCAAAACUCGACUGUAAAUUGCAAUCCCCUUUAUGGCAAUUAAAUCGAAACGAAAAUUCCAAAACCGUAAAAACAGUAAACAACAUUGUCACUUAAUUUAAUCACAUUUAUAAAAAACCACUAAUUGACUUUUGAACGUUAAUGCUCGAGAACCAUUGAAAAUGCUACCAGACACAAACACACACACACAUAUACACACACCAGACAGUGCCAUAAACACACACACAUGCAUUAACACUCAAAUUAUUGUACAUGGCUAGAAUUCAGGACAACAAAAUGUUGCCAUAAUUGGUAUUUCUGAUAUGCAUAAAAUUUUGGCCUGGUCAUAAGCUGCCAUUCCUCUCUUUUUCUCUCUCUCUCUUUUUAGCUGUGUCUCGUUCCUGCGCAUUUAUGUGUGUGUGUCUGCUGGUGUUUAUGUGAGGCUAAUUAAAUUAUUAUUUACCACAAAAUAGCGUUUCAUGGCAGAGCAGCAAUAUCUAAAAGAUACUGUAUAAGAGUGUUAUCAAGAUUCUGCGUUAAUUCGAUGAGAAUUUCCCUAGACGAUAUGCUGAAUGGUCAAACUAAAAGGCUACAAUAUGCCCGUCCUACUGUGAGCACAGUCCGUCAAUUUCUAUAUGAAAUCACAUUUAAUUUCCAUGUUCUGUGGAGCAAGAAAUGUAGCCAAAAAUAAAUAGCUUAGGGAUGGCUGCCAGCCAGGUUAACCAAAGCUCAAAUAAAAUUUCAGCU